CCUACGGGAGGCAGCAGUGGGGAAUAUUGCACAAUGGGCGCAAGCCUGAUGCAGCCAUGCCGCGUGUGUGAAGAAGGCCUUCGGGUUGUAAAGCACUUUCAGCGGGGAGGAAGGCGGUGAGGUUAAUAACCUCAUCGAUUGACGUUACCCGCAGAAGAAGCACCGGCUAACUCCGUGCCAGCAGCCGCGGUAAUACGGAGGGUGCAAGCGUUAAUCGGAAUUACUGGGCGUAAAGCGCACGCAGGCGGUCUGUCAAGUCGGAUGUGAAAUCCCCGGGCUCAACCUGGGAACUGCACUCGAAACUGGCAGGCUAGAGUCUUGUAGAGGGGGUAGAAUUCCAGGUGUAGCGGUGAAAUGCGUAGAGAUCUGGAGGAAUACCGGUGGCGAAGGCGGCCCCCUGGACAAAGACUGACGCUCAGGUGCGAAAGCGUGGGGAGCAAACAGGAUUAGAUACCCGGGUAGUC
rnacentral:rRNA from 1 species